UAUGACUGUUGACAUUACUGCCGAUAUGACGGAGCAGUGCAUUGGCAAUAUGCCAAGGGCAGUAACAUGCCGUCAGUCACGUCAGUCAUCGGCCUUGGCUAUCUGUAAGAAUCUUGGCAGGAAUCUUGGCCUUUUCUUGGACCCAUAGCCUCGGCCUUCGACCAAUCAUAUCGCCGAAUUCGCAGGCGGUGAGAGACAAAUACGGCGUGCCAAAGACAUAUUGGGUGUCUCAAAAUCACUGAGAACUCUAUAGCUCAAAACUUAAGCCCUGCACUCUUUUAGAUCUACCCCGUUGAGUGGCAUUCUUGUGAAAAUUAUGUAAAGAUAUUUAUCAGAAUAAGGUAGAAGUGUAGGGGGUGGCAGGUGAGGUGCAGAAGAAGAAGAAGUUGUACCUAUCCAGUAAUUUUAUCUUGAUUUGUGGACUAGACGAAGACUAGAUUUUGAUGAAGAAAUCGACAAACUUAAACUGCAGGACUCGUGGCGCUGCUCGCCUCCUCGCCAAUGCGAAUGCGUUCUCUGAGGAUAACCCGCCCAAGGCUACCAUGGCGAAGCCACGCCACCGCGCCGGCUAUAGACUCACGGCCUGAAGCGAGUUUGGGCGCGACGGCUGGCGAGCCAAGGCGGCGGAAAGUCGUCUGGCGGAGCUCCCGUCUGAGGCGAGCUUGAUCUGGUCAGACAGCUCCGCCACCGAUGGUGUGCUAGAUGGAGGAGGAGGGGCCACCCCCCCCCCCCGAACCGCGACAUCCGAGAGGUGCGUGUCGCGGCAGGCGCCCUCUGCUCUAGCACGCGCGGCGAGCUAUUCGCCCUAAGAGCGGUGUUGGAGGAGCUGGCCGGACGGAUGGUACCGGUCGAUAUGGGUCGACCGCCGUCUAUCCCAACGGUAGCGCCAAUCGACGUGGGCACUAUCUACAAGGCAGGCGCGCGCGCGCGACAGGCGCGCCACGGCAGGCGCGCGCGCGACGCUGCGCGCGCCUGGCAGCGGAGCUGGCCGGACGGAUGGUACCGGUCGAUAUGGGUCGACCGCUGUCCUGGCUCCGUCCUGGAGGCCGACCGUGCAGUCGUUAUCGACAUCCGCCAGUACCUGCUCUGCAUCGGCCGCCUCCCGAGGCCGGAUGCCCACAAUGCAACGACGUGGAGUGCCCUGCUGCCCGAUGCCGCGUCUGCCGCGAAGAGGCUGGCACUCCACGGUAUGUGCUGUUGCGAUGCGCGGCGCUGGCGGCGUUGCGACAAAGAGCCUCGGCAGCUGAACUGCUUCAAGCGACGUAACGAUAUCUGCCCUCCCCUCCCCUAUCGAGCCGCGUGGGUGUGGACGGACGGGUCGGCAGACGCGAGAACCUGCAGCGAAGGAGCUGGGGUCUACGGGGAGUAGCAGGACGAAUGGACUGAUGAGCCGCGUGUCCCGGCCGGUCCAUUCUGCUGUUCCAGCUCCAGGACCGGCCGCGCCGUCGCCACCCGUCCGGCGUCAGUGGAGGACCGCUCAUCAGCUGUCGAUUUUCAUCAGUUUCGUUUGGACCACUGUUCGGGCUCCUGUCAGUGCCGACAUUGGGUUGGGCGGAGUCCUACCGAUGAAUGCCGCGAGUGCUGCAACAUUGGCUCGGUACAUCUCGGUACAUUUUCCCGAGUCUGGUGUGGCUACGGGGAGACGGAUUUGGUGACCCUGGCUGCCGCCGUGAGAACCAUCCAGAACCGUACGGCUAUGCUGCGGCAGCGGCUGAAAGGAACGCAACAACAAUAAC
rnacentral:lncRNA from 1 species